AUUGAACGCUGGCGGCGUGCCUAACACAUGCAAGUCGAACGUGAAAGGGAGCAAUCCUGAGUAAAGUGGCGUACGGGUGAGUAACGCGUAGGUAAUCUACCCCAGAGUCUGGAAUAACCUGCCGAAAGGCGGGCUAAUACUGGAUAGAGCGACGGGAUCCGUAAUGGAUCUUUCGGGAAAGGGAGCUCGCAAGAGCCUUCGCUUUGGGAUGAGCCUGCGUCUCAUUAGCUAGUUGGUGGGGUAACGGCCUACCAAGGCAGUGAUGAGUAGCUGGUCUGAGAGGAUGAUAAGCCACACUGGAACUGAAACACGGUCCAGACUCAUACGGGAGGCAGCAGUGGGGAAUCUUGCGCAAGGGACGAAAGUCUGACGCAGCCACGCCGCGUGAGUGAAGAAGGCCUUCGGGUUGUAAAGCUCUGUCGGGAGGGACGAACAUUUGCUUGGUUAACAGCCAAGUGAACUGACGGUACCUUCAAAGGAAGCACCGGCUAACUCUGUGCCAGCCGCCGCGGUAA
rnacentral:rRNA from 1 species